rnacentral:misc_RNA from 1 species
GUGAAUCAUCGAAUCUUUGAACGCAAAUUGCACUCUCUGGUAUUCCGGAGAGCAUGCCUGUUUGAGGGUCAGUUUAAAUAAAAAUAGGUGUGGUUGCUGCCUUUCGUGGUGACGCACCGGAUUUGGGUCUUCUUGCCUUCGGUUAAGUGACCUAAAUUUUUGCAUGAUUUUUUUCGAACGUAUUUUAAUGAUUCUACGUCAGUUUGGGAUAUCGAUUCCUAG